rnacentral:rRNA from 1 species
AGGACGAACGCUGGCGGCGUGCUUAACACAUGCAAGUCGAACGGUGAAGCCCUUCGGGGUGGAUCAGUGGCGAACGGGUGAGUAACACGUGGGCAAUCUGCCCUGCAUUCUGGGACAAGCCUUGGAAACGAGGUCUAAUACCGGAUACGACGCAUCUCCGCAUGGGGUGUGCGUGGAAAGCUCCGACGAUGCAGGAUGAGCCCGCGGCCUAUCAGCUUGUUGGUGGGUAAUGGCCUACCAAGGCGACGACGGGUA